GACGAACGCUGGCGGCGUGCUUAACACAUGCAAGUCGAACGGAAAGGCCCUGCUUUUGUGGGGUGCUCGAGUGGCGAACGGGUGAGUAACACGUGAGUAACCUGCCCUUGACUUUGGGAUAACUUCAGGAAACUGGGGCUAAUACCGGAUAGGAGCUCCUGCUUCAUGGUGGGGGUUGGAAAGUUUCGGCGGUUGGGGAUGGACUCGCGGCUUAUCAGCUUGUUGGUGGGGUAGUGGCUUACCAAGGCUUUGACGGGUAGCCGGCCUGAGAGGGUUACCGGCCACAUUGGGACUGAGAUACGGCCCAGACUCCUACGGGAGGCAGCAGUGGGGAAUAUUGCACAAUGGGCGGAAGCCUGAUGCAGCAACGCCGCGUGCGGGAUGACGGCCUUCGGGUUGUAAACCGCUUUCGCCUGUGACGAAGCGUGAGUGACGGUAAUGGGUAAAGAAGCACCGGCUAACUACGUG
rnacentral:rRNA from 1 species